rnacentral:piRNA from 1 species
UGCCAGGAAUGUACCGAUGGGCCGAUGGG